rnacentral:lncRNA from 1 species
UGGGAGCUACCAAUGGUGUUUGGUCUGAGGGUGCCAUGCUGGGAGUGGGUUUUCAGGAAGGCACCUCUGGUACAUGGGAAGGUGGGAGGGUGGGUGUGAAUCUGAGACUCAGGUCGGGGGUGCAAGCUUGAUUUCUCUCCUCCUUUGGGUGAGAGAGGUGUGUACAAGUGUGAGGCUGUGUGUGCAUGUGAACAAGAGGACAUCUCUUGCAAUGUGUGUGAAGCUGAGUGUGGGUGAGUGUGAGAUUGUGUGAGGCCUCUGUGCAUGAGCAUGAAACGGCACAGCAAUGACAGGGGGUGUGUGUGUGUGUGUGUGUGAGUGAGUCUGUGAGGUGAAGGUGAGUGUGCUUGUGUAACUUUAGUGUGUGUGUGCCUGUGGGGUGAAGGGGUGUGUGUGUGUGUGCCUGUGGGGUGAAGGGGUGUGUGUGUGUGUGUGUAACUGUAGUAGGUGGGUGUGUGUGAGCCUGUGAGAUGAAGGUGAGUGUGCAUGUGUAACUGUGUUGUGUGUGUAGUGUGUGAGUCUGUGAGGUGAAGGUGAGUGUGCGUGUGUAACUGUUGUGUGUGUGUAGUGUGUGUGUGAAUCUGAGGUGAAGGUGAGUGUGCAUGUGUAACUGUUGUGUGUGUGUAGUGUGUGUCUAUGAGAUGGUGAGUGUGCGUGUGUAACUGUGUUGUGUGUGUCUAUGAGGUGAAGGUGAGUGUGCGUGUGUAACUGUGUGUUGUGUAUGAGUCUAUGAGAUGAAGGUGAGUGUGCGUGUGUAACUGUGUUGUGCGUGUUGUGUGUGUCUGUGAGGUGAAGGUGAGUGCGCAUGUGCGUGUGUAACUGUGUUGUGUGUGUGAGUCUAUGAGAAGGUGAGGUGCAUGUGUCACUCUGUGUAGUGUGUGAGUCUAUGAGAUGAAGGUGAGUGUGCACAACUGUGUGUUGUGUGUGUGUAGUGUGUGUGUCUAUGAGAUGAAGGUGAGUGUGCGUGUGUAACUGUGUGUUGUGUGUGUAGUGUGUGAGAGAGUCUGAGAUGAAGGUGAGUGUGCAUAACUGUGUUGUGUGUGUAGUGUGUGUGAGUCUGAGGUGAAGGUGAGUGUGCGUGUGUAACUGUGUUGUGUGUGUAAUGUGCGUGUGGGUCUGUGAGGUGAAAGUGUGUUUGCGUGUGUAACUGCAUGGUGUGUGUGCGUGAGAUUCUGUGUUGUGUGUGCACAGCCAGCAGCAUGUAGAGGCAGGGAGGCCUGGUGGAGCACACCUGCUUCCCGGUGACUCCAAGUCUUCCCAAGGGUUUUCUUCCUUUGAAGUGGGCGGCAGGAAGGAGGGGCACUGAGAGCUGGCAGUGAGGGGCCAGCUCAGAACCCAGAAGCCCUUUUCAGGGGAUCGAGCAUCUGGGCCGCAGAGGCCCUCGGAGAUCCUGCUGCCCAGCUACAGCUCACCUGCAGCGCCUGCAAUGCCGUCGGGGCUGAACAGGCCAGUGCUGUAGCUGCCUCCCCGCCAAGGCCUCUGCCUGCUGCACCUGCUGCCCUGACCUGUGUGCUCCCUAUUGUAGCUGAGCCCAGGACUGGGGCAAAGAGGCUAGGAAAACCUUGCCAGGUGAGCAGUUUUUGGAGCUGGCACAGUGCUCAAAAUAAAAUGAAACAAAACCUGGACUGGAACUCAGGAGUCGUGGGCCUGUCGCAGACCUGCUGGUGAUCUUGAGUAAGCCCCUUGCCCACUCUGGGUGCCGAAUGGAUGAGCCUGGAUGCCCUCUCAAGAUCAAAGGGAACGAUGAGGCCUGUCUGAUCUCCCAGCUUCAGAGGCAAAGUCCUGUGACCCAUUGAAAGUAAUUUUA